ensembl:lncRNA C5orf64 chromosome 5 putative open reading frame 64
AGUCCCUGGAGCUGCAAACUGCCCUCAGGGCAAAGAAGCCUGCAGAAUAAUUGGGAGGAGUCUGGCAGGAAGGAAGCCAAGUUUCCUGAGGCCCUCACCAGAAGCUCAUCAGAAGCAGAUGCUGGCACCACUCUUCUUAUGCUGUCUGCGUAACUAAUCAGUAUUUCAAGCAUCCAAAAUGUGUAGGAGAAUAUGGACCCAAGAACGGAGCAGAGAGACAAAUAGAGGAACGGAAAGUUUUGCCUACAACCAUGAUGUUCUCAAUGUUAGCUGACUGUGUUCUAAAAUCCACUCCAAUUCCCAUUUUGGGAGUUGCUAUGUGAUGAAGGUCUGCCCCUGUGGUGUUGGGACAACUUGCUCAUGGAGUUGCAGUUCUUGCCUAACAGGAACCCACCAUGAAAGCACAAGCAAGAAUGUGUGAGAAGAUCACAGAGACCUAAAGAAGGGGAAGGGAAGAACCCACAUGUGAGAGAGAAGAGAUUGUCUGACUUGGUCUCUUAGGGCUCCUCAUCUCAAGAAGCCAGCAGGCAAGGGAAGGACAAACCAUCCUUGCAGGAAUAAUUCGUACUGAUCAUUUGGAGGAGAUUCGGCUAGUAUAGCUGCUGUUACAUAAUGAAGAAAAGGAAGAAUAUGUUUCAAACUCAGAUGAACCACUGGGGAGUCUCUUGAUACUCUGUUGCCUAAUUUGGAUGGUUAAUGGUCAGUGUUCCUAAUUGCACUGCCCCUGGAAAACGCACGGAGAAGAAAUACAGCAAAAUACAUGAGAUGGUGAAACACUCUGGCAACUGCAAGCGGACAGAUGGGAUCUGGGAGGAACCCAGCCACCACAUAGUGAAAAGCCCAGCCCAUGCAGAGAUGACACACCCAGGUGCUCCAGUCAACAGCCCCAGGUGACAGCCAGCAUCGAUUAGCAGCCUUGUGAAUGAGUCAUCUUGGACUUUCAGCCCAACUGAACCUUCAGAUGACUCCAACCCCAGCCACCAUCUGCCCACAACAGGGUGAGACAGCCUGAGUGAACACUGCUCAGCUGAGCCAUGGAACUGUCAGAAAAAUUAAUACAGUAAGUCUCUAAGCUUUGACAUAGUUUAUUAGAUCGCCAUAGAUAACCAAACCACCACUCUCAACAUUUGAGUAGAUGCUGCUCUAGAAAGCAUAGUCUAGCCUCCUUGGAACAGCUGUUGCAGACAGGAAUCUCUAAACAAGGUUUCCUUGGUGCCUUUUGGAGAGGUCUUCCGUGUUGUUUCUCCUAGCCCCGGACUUCCUUACUCACUUGCUUCAGAAAAGGCGAAUCUCCUGUCUAUGGGAAGGCAGCAUAGUGGUGGUCGGGAGGUAGUGAAAGUAAAGUGGGAAAUAAGUGGCAACUUUCUCAGGUAAAUCCCUAAUGGGCCCCAUUUUCAGCUAAUGUGUACAAACUCAAAUGCCCACAAGGGCUAGACAGGCAAGGCGACAGAAUGACGACAGCACGAGGCACUCGGGAGUAGUGAAGACUGUGUUGAAUCAGUGAGCACGAGACUGUCUACAAGGGGCAGCUGCUAUGGCCCCAGGUGGCCAUUGUGGCCACUAUUGCCAGGUCUUCUAAUUUUUGAAGUGAAGUUAGAAAUCUAUUUUUUAAUAUAAAAUUUUGGCAACAAAUGUUAUAUGUUUUAAAACACCAUGUUAAUACAGCAUACUUGGAGGUCAGGGGCUGCUAUUUGGAUGCCGCUACCAUAAAGGGUAGGAUGAAAUCCAAGCCACCCUCACCUCAGCCCCUAUCCCCUUCCAAGGAGAAUAAUAAUACUCUCGUCUGUGUAGUAUGUUGUGAUUUACAAAGUGCAUUCAUGUCCACAUUUGAAUUGAACUUCUCAAUAAGGAGAAAUAGGUGAGCCAGGCAUCUUUUUGAAGUCCCUCACUUAAGAAAACAGGCUCAGGGAGUGAGCCUGCCUGAGUGGGCACUGCUGAGGCAGAGGACUACAGCUCACACCAUUUCUACUCUAUCUGGACAGAGGGAUAGGGGUGGGGGGCAGUUGAGCCCUGCGAAUGUAUUGAAACUGUGAUAGUGAAAGCAAUUCUAGGCAGCUAAGAGACAGAGAGGAGGAGAGCUGAACAAGGUGAGAAGCUGCUUUAAGAACCAUCUGAAGUCCCCUGGAUCUUAUGUUCCAUAGUCAGGAUUGACAGCCUUGACUUUCUCCAGAAAAAAGAGAUGAGUGCUGGUGUCUUCAAGCUUGGCUGAGGGCUGGGCUAUGGCAGAUGCCCUCCUUGUUGUGUGUGAUCACUGAAUCUGAAUAGCUAUGACCUCAGGUUUAAGGCUCUUGAGGGAACCUGGAGAGAUAAAGGGACCUGAAUCCAUUCCCUUCCACAGGCAUAGCAAGGGACUCCAUUCUGGCUCCUUGUGGCUCCCAUCCCAUCUUUCUCUGGGCUAAAGCAGGCUAUGGGAGGCCUCUGAAGGUCAACAGGUCCCUUAUGGCCAACAUGUGUGGGUGGAUAGGAGGGAACGGGCUUCUUCAUCCCAACAAAAUAUCUAAGACUGAACCCAGAAGAUUCUGAAUCCUAGAUUUCUGAUGAGGACAAGGAGGCCACUCUGGGGCCAGACUCUGACCUUCCAGUUUCCAAACCUCUGGAGAGGACUUUUUCCCGGUGCCCGCUGCCCCACCACACAGUGCGCCCUUCAAAGUCCGGCCCGUUACCUUAUCUCUCGUGGGUCCCUGUUGGACACAAUGCUACAAACGACAAACAAAACAAGGAAAAGUAGCACAGAAAAUGUCACAUAUGUAGAAAUAGAGACUUCAAAUUAUUGUACUUUAUUCUCCCAUUCCCAACCAACAUUCCUCUCCCGGAGAGUACAAGCAGGACAUAUACCCUCCCCUACCUCAGCCUCCUCCCCACUCACCUACUGUCCAGGCUUCCCAGCCAUCUUCCUUCAUGAGCUGCAGUGAGCUGGCUUUGAUGCAAACAGCAAAUAUAUGAGAAAACACCUUUUGUUUUUUAAAAAUUUUACUUUAAGUUCUGGGAUACAUGAACAGAACAUGCAGGUUUGUUACAUAGGUAUACAUGUGCCAUGGUGAUUUGCUGCACCUAUAAACCCAUCAUCUAGGUUUUAAGCCCCACAUGCAUUAGGUAUUUGUCCUAAUGCUCUCCCUCCUCUUGCCCUCCACCACCCGACAGGCCCUGGUGUGUGUUGUUCCCCUCCCUGUGUCCAUGUGUUCUCAUUGUUCAACUCCCACUUAUGAGUGAGAACAUGUGGUGUUUGGUUUUCUGUUCCUUUGUUAGUUUGCUGAGAAUGAUGACUUCCAGUUUCAUCCAUGUCCCUGCAAAGGACACGAACUCAUUCUCUUUUAUGGCUGCAUAGUAUUCAUGGUGUAUAUGUGCCACAUUUUCUUUAUGCAGUCUAUCAUUGAUGGGCAUUUGGGUUGGUUCCAAGUCUUUGCUAUUGUGAAUAGUGCUGCAAUAAACAUACGUGUGCAU